AAAAUCAAAGAGCUGAAAGCUCUGAAGAAAAAUGACGCCACUGUCUCUAAUAUUGGGAUAGUUUUUAUGCAAGUCUUGAUUUUCACAUACCUUAAUUAGUUUAACAAUGCAACAUGUCUCGUAAGCAUAUAAUUGAUACUUGUAUAUGUGUGUGUGUGAAGUGAAGGUGACAACUGGCUGUUUUUUUAAGAUAAAUGAAUAGGUCAAGACUACCUGAAUUUGUACAAAUAAAUACCGUAGAAAGGCUUGUAUAUUUCUCACUGGUACAUAGUCUGAAUCCGGGUCCGUUUGCGCCCCAUUCACGUUUGCGCCCACUCAUGUUCGCCCCCCUUCACUUUCACACCCUACAUGUUCGCACCCAAUCUUAAUUGGUUUUGUGUUUAAUAACUCUGUAAGCAAGUGUUUUCUUAUAAGUAUAAUUGUUGUCAUUGUCUCAAAAUAAAGUGUUGAAUAAAUCUUAAUCAUGUUUUGGAUAGGGUAUUGUUAAAAAUAAUAAUAAUCCUUUCUAAAUAAAGUGGUAUUUUGUCAACGUUUUAUUUUGUGUUGAAUAACUCUUAAUCAUGUUUUGGUUAAUGUAUUGCUAUAACUUUGUUUCAUUGACUUGUUUCAAAAUGAAGUGAGAUUCUGACUAUGUUUUUU
rnacentral:lncRNA from 1 species